UGCCAGCAGCCGCGGUAAUACGAGAGGCCCGAGCGUUAUUCGGAAUCACUGGGCUUAAAGGGUGCGUAGGCUGACAUGAAGGUGUGUUGUGAAAUCCCCCGGCUCAACCGAGGAACUGCGAUGCAAACCACAUGUCUUGAGUUAGGUAGAGGUUGUCGGAACGUUCGGUGGAGCGGUGAAAUGCGUAGAUAUCGAACGGAACGCCAAUGGUGAAGACAGGCAACUGGACCUAUACUGACGCUGAGGCACGAAAGCGUGGGGAGCAAACAGGAUUAGAUA
rnacentral:rRNA from 1 species